UAAACAUGAUGAUUAUCAUUAAUGACAAGCAUAUGCCUGAUUUAAAGUGAUGCCAACCUUYGAUCUGAUUUC
rnacentral:snoRNA from 1 species